GUAAUCAGUGUCGGUUGGGGGCAAUAUCCGGGCACCUGCCUUCAAAUUUCCCGCGCUGCUGGGGCCGAUGCACGUGUAGAGUGGGAUGGCAGAGCGGCGCCGCCACAAAUUCGGUGACCAACUUGAGAUCCACAGCUGAGAAUUAGCAAUCUGACUUGAAAGUGCAUCCCUUUAUUCUCUUUUAGGGAUAUAAUGCUGGCUUUCCCUCUAGAUCAACCACAACACCACCCACCCUUUGAGAUGAGGACAUUUGCUGUUUGUAAAGAUCAAUGGGGUCACCUUGGCUAAUGGACCUGUGAGAAGAUGUGUGGCUCACACUGUCUGAGUUUGGAGACUGGCUUCAUUUUGAAUAUGACUGUAUUGACUGUUUUAAGGCUCCUAUAGCCUAGCCAGUGCAAAACACUAGCCUCAUUUCAGUGAGUGGUUUGUGUUACUCUAAGUUUGUCAUACACAGAUCUGUACAGCACAGGAACAGGACCUUUGCCUACAAUAUUGUGCUGAACAUGAUGCCAAAUUAAACUAACCUCUUCUGCC